GAGUAGGAAGCGAUAAUUUGCACCCAGUUUCGACCUGGUAUUAGAUGGGUUUCAUCCUUACUUU
rnacentral:tRNA from 3 species